ACGGAAGGCAGCAGUGAGGAAUAUUGGUCAAUGGACGGAAGUCUGAACCAGCCAUGCCGCGUGAAGGAUGAAGGCGUUCUGCGUUGUAAACUUCUUUUAUUGGGGAAGAAACCUGAGUAUUCUUAUUCAGCCGACGGUACCCAAGGAAUAAGCACCGGCUAACUCCGUGCCAGCAGCCGCGGUAAUACGGAGGGUGCAAGCGUUAUCCGGAUUUACUGGGUUUAAAGGGUGUGUAGGCGGACUUUUAAGUCAGCGGUGAAAUCUCCGGGCUCAACCCGGAAACUGCCAUUGAUACUAUUGGUCUUGAAUGUUGUUGAGGUGGGCGGAACGGGUCAUGUAGCGGUGAAAUGCAUAGAUAUGACCCGGAACACCGAUUGCGUAGGCAGCCCACUAAGCAACGAUUGACGCUGAGGCACGAAAGCGUGGGGAUCAAACAGGAUUAGAUACCCUGGUA
rnacentral:rRNA from 1 species